GCGAGCAACGCCGCGCAUAAAUCCACCGGGAACGAUUCAGUUCGAGAUGUCCUCCAGGUGGAAGGUGGACGAACCCCUUUCGAAUCGAAUCGAUCGCCUCUCUCGUCGGCGAAAUUCAUGGAUAUCGCUUUGGACACACCUUUAACUUCGAACUGUCUGAUUUUAGAUGAUCGUGAAUCAUCGUUUUCUAUCCUGACGCGCCGGAUGAAAGGAAUCGUAAACGACUAUAUCCAUCCACUUGAGCCAAGACGAACCGGGACGUUAAACACUAAGUUGAGGAUACAAGUGUGAUUUAGGAUUGUCGAGCUCGAAAUAUAAUUGCAAAGUUCCGGAAUAAGACGACGCUCGAGUUCACCCUGGGGCGAGUAAAUCGAGGCGUACGCUAAAAUGGAACUGUACAAAGUACCAUUUCAUAAAUCUUGGCCGGAAAAGCGCGCGCCGCUGCGGAAGGGGCGGAGGGAAAAGAAAACUGUUGAUAGAUGAGGAAGACGAGGAGAGCAGGUCACAGCGCCGGGAGCACGAGCUGCUGGAAGCAUUAUUUCGGAGACGGUGUAUGAUAUUAUAAACCGAGAGAGGAUACGUCUGAGGAGUCUCCCUCUUCGUCGUUGU
rnacentral:misc_RNA from 1 species